UACCAGCACCCCGAGUGGUCGGGACGUUUAUUGGGCCUAAAGCAUCCGUAGCCGGUUCUACAAGUCUUCCGUUAAAUCCACCUGCUUAACAGAUGGGCUGCGGAAGAUACUAUGGAGCUAGGAGGCGGGAGAGGCAAGCGGUACUCGAUGGGUAGGGGUAAAAUCCGUUGAUCCAUUGAAGACCACCAGUGGCGAAGGCGGCUUGCCAGAACGCGCUCGACGGUGAGGGAGUGAAAGCUGGGGGAGCAAACCGG
rnacentral:rRNA from 1 species